UUCUGGUGCAGCAGGGAGAUUCGGGGCUGUGGCUAGAAAGUCCCCACCUCACCCCGCUGCUGCUGAUCAGGGACCCCAGGUGACAUGCACCUGGGAGACAGAGGAGCCAGAGCCUCGAAGGACAGCCAUGGGCAGAGCCAUCAGAGCUGCCUGAUGGUCUCCGUGUGCAGCCAGGGUUCAGUAAGGCUUGAGGGGAAAUGAGAGAGAGACCAGGGCUGUUGCAGAACAGCGGACUGCAGCGUGCCCGGGACAGGUCACCCCGUCCUCAGAGUGAAGCGGAGUGGCGUUGGCUGCACUGGCUGGCGGAGGGGAUGCAUCCCAAAUGUUUCCUGGCCGCCCGCCCGAAGCUGCCUGCGGUUUCCUGGCUCCUCACCGGCUGCCCCCUGCCCGACCAGGACCCGGACCCUGCUCUCCGGCCACUGCUGCUCCUGCACCCAUGCUGUGGCUGGAGUUUGGCUUUGAGUUUUGCGCCUAAGUUGCCCGAGGGAGGGACUCCGGAGUCGGGCCGUGUUUCCCUGUCUUCGGCGGUGGCCGCAUCCCCCCUGCAGAGCAGAGCCCCCACCCGAAGCAUGCUCUGAGCCCCCAGCCCCAUCCCCAUCCCAGCAGUGACACCGAUAUUUGCUGGCUUAGGCUCCGCGCCAGUCCUACCUCAGUUCAGGGGAGCCGGGUGUGGGGAGGGGCCACUCGGGCUGCGUGUCUGGGGCCUGCAACUCUGGCUUUGGAAGAGCAUAGCGGGACUGCAGUCACUCUAUGUGGGGAGACCUGGGAUUGAACUUGGAAGACAGAGCCACAGAGUAGUUGGUGUCUCUGCAGCCCCUCAGUGUCAGAGCAUGGGGUGGAGAGAGGCCCCGGAGGGCAUGGAGAGCUCUUGACCCCUGACUGCUGCAUGGACGCCAGGCAGGUACCUCUGCAGGCAGAAGCCACUGCCACUGGCUCAGCUGUCUGUUGUCCCGCCGAGGACUGGCCUUUCCUUAACCAAAAGUGCAUGUGGGCAGCAAGCGAUUCCAGGCUGGUCUGGGUUUGGCAGAUUUUGUGUUUAAAAUGUAUUAUGAUCUUUAAAUAUGCCAGUCUGAUGUUGGCCACCAAGGCUACCCUGAAUUGAGAGAGAGAGAGCGCAUUCUGGCUCCCUCGCUGGUCAUGGGAAAGAUAAAGAAGGAAAGCAGUCUUGCAGGACGCCGUGCUUGUCAGAGAAACCCUCGACAGGAGGGGCACCCUGCUUCUCUGGUCAGUGUUCUGGAGAUGCCAGUGUGGUGGCCGCAACGGAAGCCAUCCCUGUCCCAGAGGCUCCGGACUCGUGGCUGGACCCCGCCCCAGUGCCUGUCUCCCCUGUCGUCCUGUAGAGGCCCCACUAAUUCUUGGAGAUGUGACUUGUUCAUUGGUUUCUUCUGUUGUUACUUUUUGUUUUGGAGAAAAAAAUAUUAUAUAUAUAUAUAAAUAUAUAGAUCUAUAUCAUUAUAGAGUAAUGCAUUAAUGAGGCUUUGUAGAGGAAGACCAAAAAUUUCAAUGUCUUAAGAUGUAUUUAAUGGCAAUGCAAAAGUCUUCCUGCUUUCGUGCUGAACUCUUUAGAAGCGAGGACUGUACUGCAAGACGAAGUUGAAUGUAAAGUGCUCCUGACCAUUUCUGAGGUUUUGCUUCUCUGAGCUACGCGUCGCAGCCAUGCAUAGUUGGUUUGAAGGCCGACUCCAUGUAUGAUACGCUUUGCUAAGAUGUGUAGAAUGUUCUGGAGCUUUCUCUCGUUAGGAAUCGGUGGGCGCAGCACCGUGGGCCGGAAGGGAACCUCAGCUGGCGCUCCCCACGCCCCGUGCAGCCUAAAUGAGCAGCCAAGAAGCUGAUAAUAUAUACUGAAUUUUCCUCUAUCCUGUACAUUUCAAAAAAAGGCACAUGCAAUAUUUACAUGUUUUAUUUAGUUUACAGAACGGAACCAAAAUGUAUGUUAUGUUUGCAAAAAUUUCACAAUGUAUAUUGGGUCUUUGUACAUUUUGCCUGACUUACCUUAAAUUUAAACUAUUUUUUGCUAUAUAAACUUUAACCGUUAUUAAACAGUGUUUUCUUUUGGGUAUGUAUUGUUUCUGGAUCUGGAGCUGUUAAAUAUAUUUCUUGCUAUUGUGUUAUGUCAGCACCUCCCCCCCAUCUUCCAUGCUGUACAUAGGGUUGGGAAUGAGCCAGGCUAGAGUAGUGCAUUGUAUUUAGUCUGUAUUGAUCAUGGAUACCCUCCUGAAUAGC
ensembl:lncRNA